rnacentral:rRNA from 1 species
GACGAACGCUGGCGGCGUGCUUAACACAUGCAAGUCGAACGGAAAGGCCCUGCUUUUGUGGGGUGCUCGAGUGGCGAACGGGUGAGUAACACGUGAGUAACCUGCCCUUGACUUUGGGAUAACUUCAGGAAACUGGGGCUAAUACCGGAUAGGAGCUCCUGCUGCAUGGUGGGGGUUGGAAAGUUUCGGCGGUUGGGGAUGGACUCGCGGCUUAUCAGCUUGUUGGUGGGGUAGUGGCUUACCAAGGCUUUGACGGGUAGCCGGCCUGGGAGGGUGACCGGCCACAUUGGGACUGAGAUACGGCCCAGACUCCUACGGGAGGCAGCAGUGGGGAAUAUUGCACAAUGGGCGGAAGCCUGAUGCAGCAACGCCGCGUGCGGGAUGACGGCCUUCGGGUUGUAAACCGCUUUCGCCUGUGACGAAGCGUGAGUGACGGUAAUGGGUAAAGAAGCACCAGCUAACUACGUG